rnacentral:lncRNA from 1 species
GCUACAGCUAAAACUCUUUGCAGUGCUUCUGACUUGCCUGCUGCUGCUGGGCCAGGCCCAAAGCUCCCCAGUACCAGAACUGAGUUCAGCAAAGAGAACCCGGAGAAUGACCCCAUUUUGGAGAGGGGUUUCCCUCAGACCCAUUGGUGCCUCAUGUCGGGAUGAUUCGGAGUGUAUCACAAGACUAUGCAAAAGACGACGCUGUUCCCUGAGUGUGGCCCAGGAGUGACAGUCAUACUGGGGAAGUCACCUCCAACAGUGCUCCGUUCUAUGGAAUAUUGUUAACUGCAUUUUGGUUGGAGAAACUUAAGUGAAGCAAUCUUGUGUUUUUAAUAUUUAAAGACAGAUACUUGCUUUAAACUGGUCUCCAUUUCUUAUUAGACUGUUGUUGAUUUGUAC